rnacentral:tRNA from 2 species
GCCAACAUAGCUCAGUUGGUAGAGCGCAUCCAUGGUAAGGAUGAGGUCCACAGUUCAAUUCUGUGUGUUGGCU